GAUAAUUGAACAUCACUGAAGUUCAGUCAGUGUUAACUCUUAUUAUCAAUCUUAACUAUACUGAGUAGCUGGUUCUUAAGGGGGAUCGAGUGUCGAGGUUGGACAUGGGAACAUCGACAUGCUCCCAUUAUCGUCUCGACAGUGAACUGCUUAACGUAGUCCGUUAAGUUUUGCUUUCAGAAGUCCAGCUCUGCGCAGUACGUUGCAUGCAAGAUGUGCGCACUACUGACAAUACAGGCCGACAUGCAGUCUUUUAAAGCGAUUUUCAUGUCAUUUUUAUUCACACUUAACACUAACGGGAAACAUGAACCACAAGUGCCUGGGUGGUUUAUUGUGAAGCCUAAAGCAUUCAUUCAGAAAAUCAUCAUAUUAACCACCGUCAUCAGUCACUGUUCUUUGUGUUCAUGUUGAACUGAGGUGCCCUAGAAGCUCUCAGAAGCUGUCCAAGCCAAACCCUCACAGUCUCUCUCACAGCUGUCAGUCUCCAGCCUCCCACGUGGUCAGCAGGGCGGGCGCAUCGCAACUAGUUGAACGUGCAACUUUUAGGAAGGCAAACAAUUGGACCCGCUGGUAGUUGCUAUUGCCCAACGGGAAACAACGACCUGCAGUCGGCGUCUCUUCUUUGGGUGGCACCAGUGCGCUCUCAUCUGACAGCCGCAAACUCAGCGCGCACUGCUGCUCCCUCUUGUACCCAGACUCAUUUGAGACAGCGCUUUGAACCCUGAGCCGAGUUUGUUUGUCGGAGUUAGUGUUUUAGGUGCGCUGCUGACCUCCUGCAGUCUGAAUACAGUUUGGUUGCAGAACUACACCACCAAAGCAAGGGACUUUUCUUUUCCUCAAAACACCCUAAAGCAGGAUUCCAGCAUGGAUAAAGCCAGCGACUCUAUCGGGGAAAGUAAGCCGGCGUGUCAGUGUGCUCCCAAGUACGCUGUGCAGCGGUGGCGUCCAGGUUUUCCAAUCGUUCUGUGUUUGCUGAUGUCCCUGAGCUCCGUCACCGUGUGUCUUCUGAUGAGCCUCAAGACCUACCAGCUGGAGAACCAACUGCAGAUGGAGAUGAGCAAAGCGUCCGUGUUCCACCCGCCGCACAGGGCUUUUCUAAACGAGGAUGGGACCCUGAUUCCAGAGCUGAGCACCCCGAUAGGGAAACUCGUGGAAGAGGAAAUGGUGAUGCUCAUGCCGAAAUUGCGCACAACCAGGGAUGUUGGCCAAGAGUGCUCCUGUCCUCCAGGGCCUCCAGGGAAGCGUGGAAGGAUGGGAAGAAGAGGAGAACCUGGACCUCCUGGCAAAUCUGGACGGGAUGGAUACCCGGGUCCACUUGGAUUGGAUGGGAAGCCAGGUUUACCAGGUCUCAAAGGAAGCCAGGGACCAGCCGGACCCAAGGGAGAAAAGGGUGACCAAGGAGACAUUGGGCCAAGGGGUCCUCCUAAUUACAGCACAUAUGCAGGUCUGCACAGUAAUCAGAUCCUCACCGUUAAGGGUGACCAAGGCCAAGCUGGACCUGCAGGUCCUCCUGGGCCUCCAGGUCCUCCCGGUCCCCGGGGCCCCCCUGGGAACACAGGAAAGGAUGGCCCACGUGGCCCUGCUGGUGAGCCGGGUUUUCCAGGUCGAGAUGGUGUUGAGGGGGCACAAGGAUUUCCUGGCAAGCCAGGUGAAGACGGUGAGCCUGGCAGUCCAGGACCUCAAGGUCCCCCAGGAGCAAAGGGUGAGCCAGGUAUGGGAGAAAAAGGAGAGAGAGGCAUGGACGGACUCCCAGGAUUAAAGGGAGACAAAGGGGAAAUAGGAGAGCAAGGACCACAAGGACCUAUGGGUUAUCCUGGUGAAAAAGGUGCCACAGGCUCCUCAGACAUCAUAGAUUUCAAUGGGAAACUUCUAGAUGCUUUUCAGGCCAUCAACACCAUCAGUGUUUCGGGUCCACCUGGACCACCUGGACCACCUGGAGCCCCAGGUUUUCCAGGGGAAAAAGGUGAGCUUGGAUUACCUGGACCAGCAGGAGUCGAUGGGGAAAAGGGACCGAAAGGUGACGAGGGUGAGAAAGGGCCACCUGGAGAGAGAGGAGAGAAAGGAGAGAUGGGGCUCUCUGGGCCUGCUGGUAUGGAUGGACAGAAAGGAGACAAGGGCGACUGCAGAAUCGAUGACAACUUGGUUCAGAUGAUUUCCCAGCCAGGCCCUCCUGGGCCACCCGGCCCACCAGGGGUUCCUGGAUCCCCUGGAUCCAUGGGGCUGCAUGGAAUGCCUGGUCCUAAGGGUGAACCUGGAUUUGGGAUAAAGGGAGAGAAGGGGGACUCUGGUGCUCCUGGACCACAGGGUUUACAAGGUCUCCAGGGGUCACCUGGAUCUGAAGGAUUAGUGGGACUUCCAGGUUCAAAGGGAGAAAAAGGCAGACCAGGGGAGCCUGGACUGGAUGGUUUCCCGGGUCUGAUGGGAGAGAAGGGUGACCGAGGGGAAAGAGGAGAGAAAGGUGACAGGGGAGCAGUGGGAAAAAAAGGUCUAAAGGGCCAGAAGGGAGAGCAGGGUCCUCCAGGCCUGGACCAACCUUGUCCUGUGGGUUGUGAUGAGACUAAAGGUCUGUCUGAGGAGGCAGGGCUUUCUUCCCCUCCGUCUCUCCCUCCUUCGGGCCCUGAGGCCCCCUGUCCUGUGGUACAGUAUCUCUCCAUCCUUCUUCUUCCUUUCACUAUUUAUGCACAGUACAGAAUUCUAGACUCUGCACCAGAGGCCUGGUGCUAUUUGUUCAAGUGACGGAGCACACCUAUGAUGGGCGUGCAUGUGCGCACACGCACGGUUAGGUUGUGGAUCAUUUCAGGGAUUAUUUUCCUGCUGUUCCUUGCUGGCAAGUUUAUAUACAUUAUUCAACUAAAAGUGAUAAUGUUAGAUGGACUUGUUGAAUAGACAAUAUUACGCACUGCUGUUAUGAAGUGCAUGACUAUACGUUGCUUUGACCAUGGCUUAAAUAAUGCAUGUUAAUUUCACCUUGAUUACACAAAUUGUGAAUAUUCUGUCUCAAUAACUGGAGACAUCAAGUUGCUGAGCGUCGUUUCGGUGCGCCUCGUUACCAAUGAAUCUGAGCUAGAAUAAUUCAAGUUAUUCAUUUAAAUAUGACACGAGGCCCCGCUGCCCUAAUCUGAUGCCUGUUUAUGCAUCUACUGUUGCUAUUUUCUUUUCAACCACUUUACUUUUCAUCUCUGAAAUGCUUAAGGCUUACUGCAUGUAGAUUAGUAUUCAUGGUAAAGAGAGACAUUCUGAGAUAAUUAACACAUUCACAUAAAUCAGACGUCUUGCUUUUUAUUUGUGAAAUAAAAGAUAUGAAAGACAUGGAAGAUGCUGGGUUGCAAAAAAUGUAAUAUUUCUCUAAGCAGAAAAGAAUAGAAAAGAAAAAAGAUGUUAAUAUUUUGAUUUUUAUAUUUGGUCUGCAGUAUUAUAAAUAUGAGCAUACACAAGUAGCUACAGUACAUAGAUAGGGAACAACUGAUUGCCAACCUAAAAUAGUUAUUCUUUUUUUUAAAUAAUGCUAAUUCACUUUUUCCUCCAGCCUCCACCUUGACAUUUUCAUUUUCUGGCCCGUUAACUUUCCACUGAUGUUCUCUCUCUGUGCAGGGACAGGACGGGCUGCCCAUACCAGGCUGCUGGCACAAGGGGCAUUUUGUAAGUAUACUAAAAUGUGUGAGCUUGUAAUUGGAAAGCAUGGCUAUUUUUGAAAUCAGUCAUUAUUUGAUUAUUUUAGGGACUUUUGUUUGGAUUUUAAUUUGACACGCUACUAAUAAUCAAUCCCUGCUAUUCUCCUUUUGCAGUGAUGACUAACCAGCCGCAUGGAAUCUGUACAUAUUGAUAUGGUAUAUAUUGGAAUUGAAUACUACGCCAACAACCCACUCCCCUUUUUUGCAUAAAACAUUUUAUAUAAUAUAUUGAGAUUUAUUUUUUUUUUAACAAGGACAUUUUUGAAUCUACAGAAUUAUGAAAACCUUUUUUUUUUAAAUCUAAAGAUCCAGUUUUGUUGUGAAUGCAGCUAUGGUUUUAAAGAGAAGAAACUGAACUGGCAAUGGGACUAUGAAGGACAGUCCAAAUGACAGUGCCGGAGUGCCUUGACGGUCUAGCUGCCUUACUAACAAAGUCUGACUUGCUGCUUGAUUGCAAUCGUGAACGGCGUAUGGACAUGCCGGUGUGCGCACUCACCCAGUCUCUUGGAUGGAUGGACAGAUCUCCUGGCUGUGGCGGACAGGGGUCAGUGCUCUCUUCUCCUCUCUCUCUCUCUCUGUGUUUUCUAAAAGGAGGAAAUGGCGAGACAGAAACUCAAACGCAAGCGUCUCUCUCAGCCCUGAAGGACUUCAGGGCCUUGUGGAGAAAGAACAUGUGGACAGGCAGCGAGCAGACGGGGGAGCAGAGCGAGCUACGUAAUGCCUCAGUGUCAUACUGAACACUCCAAUCCCCCGUUAUGGAAACUCAACAGGAGGCGGGGGAGGGGGCGACAGAGAACACUGCAUGUUCAUGUUCACCUGGAAAGAAAAGACAUACCUGUGGCUGGUGAUGCUGCGCAACAGCUUGACCUCCAAUCUAAAGUUAUCUGGGAGUCACUGACGUCACUGGCACAUAAGGAAGGAUUUACUGCACACACUCACACACACAUUGGACAUGUUGACCUCUUGUAAAAGGUUUUCACUAAUUAAAUGCUUAGUCACAACAACGCACAGUGUUGUUUAGCAUGCUGACAUCUUGUAUGACUUGUGGGCCCCCUCAUUGAAACGACAGUAGAUUCAUCUUCGUUUGCGAUAAGCAGUCUUUAAUAGUCUUUCCAUUUGAACAAGCCACUCAGAAAAGUCAGUAAGUCUACCUUUUUAUGGCUUACACUUGUGGCAGUGGUGACUUGUGUGUUGUUUUGUUUCAUUUUGCUAUAUCUUUACCUAUUUUUGUCCAGUUAUAUUUUGCAUUCCUGUGCAUUGCCAUGUUUGUGGAAUAUACAGUAUGGCUCGUGAAAUUGCAAGGCCAGAUCUGAGAGAACCAUUUACAGUAUUGAUGAGAAACCAGCGUUGCCUUCACAACUGAUUGCCAGUCAAAAUACUUCCUAUAAUUUUCAGUGUAACUGAUGCAUUUUGACUCAUCAUAAUCCUUUAAUCACUGAUGAAGACAUAAUUAAUUAAGGUUACCAGUUUCUCUGGACAACAGUGUAUGUUCUUGCUGCUGACUUAAGUGUGUGUUGUUUGUUUAAUAUUUUUGAAUCAAUAUUAGUCAUUUUUACUGAAGGACUAACAGACAUAAGUAUGAAAAUUGAAUCACAUCUAUACACAGCCAUUUUUUUGUUGUGAAAUUAUUCAUUUUUAUCCAGCAAUGGUUUAUAACCGUCAUUUAUUUUACAUUUUGUCUGUGUGUGCUUUCUUUUAAUUGCUACAAAAGUUUUAGUCUUUGCUAUCAGAUUACCUUCACUGGUGUGUUUUGGUUUUUGUUAUACAUUUUUCUCAGAUGGAAUAAUUUCUUGAUUCUUAAAUACUUUUAUAUACACAGUUUAAGCUCUGUUCUGCACAUUCACAGGCAAAACCAAACACAUGAUCGCAGAUACGCAUACAUCGUAGCUUGAUGUUGAACGUAGAAAAAAAGAAAUUGUACUUCUACUAAUAUUUGACUCCAUGUUUAUGGGGCAGAAAUACACACAUUAAUGAAAAAUGGUGUUAAAGUUUCUUAAAGUCGCUUUUUGAUACUAUAUAAAUAAUACUUAAAAAUGAUCUUUUUUGUGGCAGCAUGCAUAUUCAGAUUACUCACUUGAUACAACUGAUGAUCAAUCAUUUUCAACAUUUUCAUUUUUAGCUUGAAUAUUAAUGUUUUACUGAUUGAUUAGCUGCACUCACCUUCCAACUAUAUUGCAGAAUACUAAACAUUUUUAUUCCAAUUCUUGCCCACAACACACACACACACACACACACACACACAGAUUUCAGACAGAGUCAGCAUUAGUGUUGUUUAUCAUUUUUAGACAAGGUCUUCACAUCAGUCUAAGUAACACAAAAUGGAUAUGUUCAUAGUAAUUUAGACUCAAUUUAGAUUUAGGAAACACACUGUAAAUUGGUAAUGCUGACUUCCUCUUUCUAAUUAAACUUAUUCACAAGGUGACCUGCAAACUGAUGUAGGCCUUGCAGUGGUAUUUCCUGUUUAGGUCUGAAAUGACAAUGUGUAACACCACCUCUUAUCAGCUUUGUUUUUGCAUCAAGGUCAUUUUAUGAAGUUGAAUUACUGGCAUCACACAAAACAAUUUCAAUUUUAGUGGGAUAAAUAUGAUGUGAAGUCUCACUGAAUGUUUAAACUUCAGAAGUGUGUGGCAGUACAUAUCAGUUCAUAGUGUAUAUGCUGCAUCACUCAUUUAUGAUGAUGGAGAUUUCUAUAAAACAAAGGUGUGUAUAGGUUGCAUAUCACUAAGCUAAAACAGAAUAUGACAUAGAAAGUUUAUUUGAGAAUUUGAGAAAAAUGCAGGCUGAGUUGAAAAAGCAGGAUGGUUUAACGAUAAACCACACAUUUCUUGGCAUUACUUCACUGGAAGCUGAUGGUUAUCUGUCACUUAACAUUAUUAUGUGUUUAUUUCUUUUGCAGAUUCUGUCAGUUUCCAUUUUAAGGCUUAAUGCAAUCAUUAAAUGUCACAGUGUCUGAAUACUUUUGGUAUUUUACCAAGUCCUGUAUCACAGUAUUAGCUUGACUUUGUGAGAAUGUUUUUUGUGUGUAUUUGGUUGUAAAAGAAUGAAGCUAUUUUUGUAAUUACUUGUCUAAUAAUGUAUAGCAUCUGGUUAACUAAACAUCUGACAUGUAGACUGAAGUAAACUUUCCAGAUGUUUUUUUUUUUUGUCCAUUAAAUCAUAAUCAUGAAAA